AGCGUAUCGGGCCAGCAUUCAUCUGCGAGGUCGGCGCGCGCCUCUGCUUCGCUCUCCAGAUUGGGACGGAGUGGGGGUUGUACCCGGCCGAGCGGUGCAUUUGUUGGCGAGUGCGCCGAGCUGCCCGGGGCGGCGGUGUGAACCUGCUUUUGCGGCCAGCUUGCUGGAACCCGAGGUGGGCUAGCGCUGUUCGUUCUGGGUUCAUUCCCUGGGGCAUGGCUUACGGGCGCCGAUGGGUGCCGAGCCGGUGGUCGGUGGCGGUCGCGUGCGACACGUGCCGCACUCGCAGGUUCGGUCCUGCCGGUGCUCCCAUGCCCGUGCUCGGUGUAAGAGCUGGUCAUCUAUCCGACCCGUCUUGAAACACGGACCAAGGAGUUUAUCGUGUGCGCAAGCCAUUGGGCUCAGAAACCCAAAGGCGCAAUGAAAGUGAACAAUGUCCUCGCAAGAGGCAGACGUGCGAUCCCCGGCGCCUCGGUGCCGGGGCGCAGCAUGGCCCCAUCCCGACUGCUUGCAGUGGGGUGGCGGAAGAGCGUGCGCGGUGAGACCCGAAAGAUGGUGAACUAUUCCUGAGCAGGAUGAAGCCAGAGGAAA
rnacentral:rRNA from 1 species